rnacentral:rRNA from 1 species
UACAGAGACUGCAAGCGUUAUUCGGAUUCACUGGGCGUAAAGGGUGCGCAGGUGGCCAGGUGUGUGAGGCGUGAAAGCCCGGGGCUUAACCCCGGAAUUGCACCUCAAACUACUUGGCUAGAGCAUUGGAGAGGGGAGCAGAAUUCAUGGUGUAGAGGUGAAAUUCGUAGAUAUCAAGCGGAACACCGGUGGCGAAGGCGGCCUUCUGGACAGUGACUGACGCUGAGAUGCGAAAGCGUGGGGAGCAAACAGG